GCCGCGUCGACGAAAGCGUGGGAGCAAACAGGAUUGACGGGGACCCGCACAAGCGGUGGAGCAUGUGGUUUAAUUCGAAGCAACGCGAAGAACCUUACCUGGGCUAAAUCACAUUAGAAUUGCGCAGAAAUGUGUAAGCCAGCAAUGGCUGAUGUGAAGGUGCUGCAUGGCUGUCGUCAGCUCGUGUCGUGAGAUAGUCGUGGAGGCGAAGGCACACAGGGAUAGG
rnacentral:rRNA from 1 species